AUGUUCAGAGGUGUCUGAGGACUCAUGAAACAAGAUAUAUUCUCGGCUACUGAGCUCAAAUGGUGGACUCCACAAGCCGGUACUGGAAGACUGCAUGUUGCUUUGAGCAAGAAGGAUGGUCGAUGGGAAUGUUUGCAAUGUGUCGAUGUCUACCCAGAAGAUACGCAUUCUGCCGAUGGCUGUACAUGACUGGAAAUACCUGAUCAUUUAAAGGGGUAGAGAUGCCACCGGUUUUGGGGGGGGGGGGAUCUGGGCUUCUGGGAGCUCACUGUAUUUAAUUAAUAACCAUAUCCUGGAAGAUAUUAGUGUCGCCAACAAGUGCCCCCAGAAAGUUCAAAGCUUGGUUUUUCUUUACCGGGCACCUCUUUGCUUCUGUUCCCAGCAGGGCGAGGGAUCACCUCCUGAGCCUCACCACCAGCGCUUUCAUUCUGGGGCGGUGCUCCUGGCACCUGGCAUUAUGAAAGUCCCUCUCUUCUUCCUGGGCCUGCAGGUUCUGGCUGUCUCUAUCCUGACCCUGCCCACCGACAGGCCUCUCAUCAGAGCUCCUCCUUUGGUGGGAAUGGUCCCAGUGCCGGUCUCACUCACUGUUCGGACCUCUCCUGUGCUCCUGUUCUGAUGGCUCCCGGUGCUGCUGAUCCUUGCUGCUGAUCUUCUCGUCCUCUCCGUGGAUGGUCCUCACGUUCCUGCUUCACUGUGACUACGGAGUAGUGGGGACUCUGGCUUUUCUUAGCCCGAGGAGACUUGCUUCUUCUCCCGAAGUACUUGCUUUUCGUUUUGGCUGGGAACAGGCUCACUCCCAGGGCUUGGCUUGGACCAGCUCAGAGGUGGGCAGGGACAGGGACAGGGACAGGCUAGCGGCUGGUGCACGACCAGUUCGGGGCUCAGAGGCUCCUGCUUCACUACCAUAGUCGCCUGACCUCUUGUGACCCAGAAAAAAGUUCUAUGUCUUAAUCUGCAGGCAGCCAGAAGCAGACUGAGCCACACUGGGUGUAGCUUGAGCAUAUAAGACAUCAAAUCCCGCUCCCAUAGUGACACACUUCCUCCAAUAAGGCCAUACCUCCUAACAGUGUCAUUUAUGGGACUGUGGGGGGUCUUUUUUUUUUUAAUCUAGGUUUUGCAAACAUGAGGAAGAAAAUGAUGUCUAUGGCCUAUAGAAUGUCAAAAAAAAAUGGAGUGUCAAAAA
rnacentral:lncRNA from 1 species